UGGGAAGGAUCCCUGGGAAGCUUAAGGGUGUUGGAAAUAGUGUGCGCUUGUUUGUGAUGGUGGCUUCACAGAUGUGCCAAAACCUUUGAAAUUGCCUGAAACAUACAUGAUAAUAUCAUCUUCACCAUGACAACAACGUAAGAAAAAAUGAAGGACUCAACUAAGCAGUGGUAGUGGGGCUGAAGCGCCUAGGAAGGAGUUAACUUUUAUCAAAUACCUAUGUACAGGGCCUCUCCUCUUUCACGUGGCCCCACCUCCUGAUUAAAGCCACACCCAAGGCCAGCCCAGACCACAGGACGAAGCCUGCACAGGUGUGGACAUCCACGGGAGGGGACACAGGAAUGGAGCUGGACUCUGAUUGAGGUCCUGUUCCUUGAGAGCCAGCCAUCCCAUGCCAACGCUCAAGACAGCAAUCUCUGUUGGCAAAGGGAGUCCCCUACUUACAGGGGGCUCUGCAUUGAUGUGGCAUGGGGCCUGUGUGCCUGUCUGUCCCUGGCUCUGUCCUGCUCAGCAGCUGGGUGGCCCCAGCAAGUCACGGAACCUCGGUUCCUGCACCUGCAGCAGUGGAAGAUAAAGGGAGCAUCCACCUCACAGGGCCGCACCCGCGGCGGGGGGUCUAAUCAGAGCUACAGCUGCUGACCUACACCACAGCUCACGGCAAUGCCAGAUCCUUAACCCACUGAGCGAGGCCAGGAAUUGACCUGCAACCUUAUGGUUCCUAGUCAGAUUAAUUUCUACUUAGCACAGCUAUCUUUGACUUCAGAAAGUCCCAUCAAGCCAUGCGCCAGCCUCCCAGUGGGUCCACCCACCACGCUGGGUUCACCGAGGGCCCACCGCACAGACCCCUGCAGCCCUCCACACCCACCCACCGGCUCUGGUUCUCAGGCCUGGACAGAUGCUAAGAUGGAAUGGGCCAGCCGGGACCUGGCUCUUCCAUGCCAAGCCACCCACCUGGGCAAACCUCGCUCCCCUGAGGCUUCAUGCCCUGUAGAACCAGGCCAGGAGCCUACUCACAGUACCCGUGUGAGCCAAGGGGAGCCAUGGCAUGGGGUGCCGUGAAGGCUGUGCCUAAGAAGGGGGGCUGUUGACCCGAGAACACAGGAAGGGGCGUAGGAGUGGAGCAGAGAGGGAGGUGCUUGGUAAAGGCCAGGCCAGCUGGGUCUGGGUGACUAACCCUUAACCUUCAGAGCGAGAGGUGGAAAAGAGAGGUACAGCCCACCGGACAGCCAGGCCCAGGGAGAGGACAGCUAAGGACACAGGGGGAGGUCUCUGUCUCGAGCCCCUCCUUGGCACCCAGCCCCCACAGCCCAGGCACUUACGGAGGACAAGUAGUCCCGGGCCCAGGCCCGCCGGCAGCCCCAGUCCUGCCGUAGCUCCUGCAGGGCCGCCAUGGCGGCCACCUUGGCCUUGAUCUGAGCCAUGUCUGAAGGGGGAAUAUUCUUUACCAGCUGCCGGGCCCGCCACCUGGAGGGGGCCAGGUUGGUUAGAUGGACCCCCGUGCAGGCCUCACCCUUCCCCCCUCCUGGUUCUGCCCUCUCCCCCAGACACACAUUAAUGCCUUCUCAUGUCCCUUCCCCCACAGGAGAAGGCCAAGCCCCUCGGCCUGGCACUGGCCACCCUCUGUGACCCACCCUCCCUGCUCUCAGUGGCAGGUGGCCUCUCCUGCCCUGAGCACGCUGGUUGCCCUUCAGCUCUUCUCCUCGAGAACUCCUACUGAGCCUUCAGAGCCCUGCUCAGUUGCGGUUUCCUCCACCUCUGUCUCUGACCCGCCACCUUCCCCGCAGGCCUCUAGCAAGGAAACAGAGGCCUGCAUCCCUCCAAUGUCCAGCAGCGUGCUGGGGUCAUUAGGAAUCUGCCACCAGCUGUGGGGUGUGGGCAGUCAGCUGAUCCACGCAGCCCCGUUUUCCUGCUUAUGCAACGGGACCAUGUGUCUCCUAGCUGGCACCAGGGAGUUCUGAUGACUUGGUUCCAGGGUUCCGUGGGCUCUAGCCGCGUGGGAAGGAGCGAGGGGGUGGUGGCAGAGGGCGAGUACCUGCAGAAGAGGGCCUGGCAGAUGUCUUGGAAAGGCUGCAGCACGGCGGGGGGCUGCGGCCAGACGAGGUCACGGCCAUAGUGCGGGGGCUGCCGUGCAGUCUGGAAUUGCCGCUGCAGCUCUGUCAGGAGACCUUGAAAUGGAGCGGCACCCCAAGAAUGUAACCAUCGAAACUCAGAGGCCCUGAGGCAACUGGAGACCCUAGGAGGCAAGCAGCCCGGCAGACCCAGCAGAGAUUAGAGCAGACUUAAGUGAUGUCGCCCUUGACUGCGAUGUGUGGACCCUGACUUGAGCAGACUGAAGACACGAUUCCCCAGCCGUGGGAUCACAGACUGGACAGAACAGCAACGAGUCAGUGUGAACUCUCUAAGUCCCGUUUCUGCGAUGGUAUGGGCCACGCUCUUAAAAACAACCCCUGUGUGUUAGAGGAGAUAGCAGAAGUAAAAAUGAAAUGCGGUGUGUCCUCACUGAU